rnacentral:rRNA from 1 species
GAUGAACGCUGGCGGUAUGCCUAACACAUGCAAGUCGUACGAGAGUUUUUAACUCUAGUGGCGGACGGGUGAGUAACACGUGAGAAUUUGCCUUUAGGAGGGGGAUAACAAUUGGAAACGAAUGCUAAUACCCCAUAUGCUUUUGAGUGAAACGGAUUUAUCCGCCUAGAGAGAAGCUCGCGGCUGAUUAGCUUGUUGGUAAGGUAAGAGCUUACCAAGGCGACGAUCAGUAUCUGGUUUGAGAGGACGAUCAGACACACUGGGACUGAGACACGGCCCAGACUCCUACGGGAGGCAGCAGUGGGGAAUAUUGGACAAUGGGCGAAAGCCUGAUCCAGCAAUGCCGCGUGAGUGAUGAAGGCCUUAGGGUUGUAAACCUCUUUUAGCAGGGAAGAAGCGAAAGUGACGGUACCUGCAGAAAAAGCACCGGCUAACUACGUG